UAAACUUCAUGAUUGUGUAGGCUUAACCCUGACCAUAUCAACAGAGAUCUCUUCACGAAACUUGUUGACCUUUGCUUGGUAAGAUUUUGGCACUUGAAUUGAUGAGUUAAGAUCAGGCCAAAAAUGUUAUAUGAAAGUUAUGCCCCCUGCAGGGUAUUAGAAUUGCACUCACGUAUUUGACAUAUUCAUCAGUGGCUUUGGCUUCCUCUAUCUUUGGCUUCUUCUGCACUGGAGAAUCAAUCGCCG
rnacentral:lncRNA from 1 species